AUUGAACGCUGGCGGCAGGCCUAACACAUGCAAGUCGAGCGGUAGAGAGAAGCUUGCUUCUCUUGAGAGCGGCGGACGGGUGAGUAAUGCCUAGGAAUCUGCCUGGUAGUGGGGGAUAACGUUCGGAAACGGACGCUAAUACCGCAUACGUCCUACGGGAGAAAGCAGGGGACCUUCGGGCCUUGCGCUAUCAGAUGAGCCUAGGUCGGAUUAGGUAGUUGGUGAGGUAAUGGUUCACCAAGGCGACGAUGCGUAACUGGUCUGAGAGGAUGAUCAGUCACACAGGAACUGAGACACGGUCCAGAAUCCUACGAGAGGCAGCAGUGGGGAAUAUUGGAAGAUGGGCGAAAGACUGAUCCAGCCAUGCCGCGUGUGUGAAGAAGGUCUUCGGAUUGUAAAGCACUUGAAGUUGGGAGGAAGGGUUGUAGAUUAAUACUCUGCAAUUUUGACGUUACCGACAGAAUAAGCACCGGCUAACUCUUUGCCAGCCGCCGCCGUAA
rnacentral:rRNA from 1 species